GACGAACGCUGGCGGGGUGCCUAAUACAUGCAAGUUGAGCGCUGAAGGUUGGUACUUGUACCAACUGGAUGAGCAGCGAACGGGUGAGUAACGCGUGGGGAAUCUGCCUUUGAGCGGGGGACAACAUUUGGAAACGAAUGCUAAUACCGCAUAAAAACUUUAAACACAAGUUUUAAGUUUGAAAGAUGCAAUUGCAUCACUCAAAGAUGAUCCCGCGUUGUAUUAGCUAGUUGGUGAGGUAAAGGCUCACCAAGGCGAUGAUACAUAGCCGACCUGAGAGGGUGAUCGGCCACAUUGGGACUGAGACACGGCCCAAACUCCUACGGGAGGCAGCAGUAGGGAAUCUUCGGCAAUGGACGAAAGUCUGACCGAGCAACGCCGCGUGAGUGAAGAAGGUUUUCGGAUCGUAAAACUCUGUUGGUAGAGAAGAACGUUGGUGAGAGUGGAAAGCUCAUCAAGUGACGGUAACUACCCAGAAAGGGACGGCUAACUACGUG
rnacentral:rRNA from 1 species